CUUAGUCAAUGCUUGGUUGUUCUGGUGCUUGCUUCCAUGCUCCUCGUGAUCCUGGUCCAUGUUCCUAAUCCUGGUUUGUGUUCCUGAUCUUGGUCCAUGUUCCUGGUUCCUAAUUUCCAGUUCCUGAUUCCCAGUAAUACUUCUUGGCUUCUGACCUUUGGCUUUGACCCUAACCACACUUCUUGUCUCUGACCCUUGGCUUCUG